UACGUAGGGACCGAGCGUUGUCCGGAAUCAUUGGGCGUAAAGAGCGUGUAGGCGGCCAUUUAAGUCCUACAUGAAAUCCUGCAGCUCAACCGCAAACGGUCAUGGGAAACUAGAUGGCUAAAAUGCGGAAAAGGAGAAUGGAAUUCCUGGUGUAGCGGUGGAAUGCGCAGAUAUCAGGAAGAACACCCGUGGCGAAGGCGGCUCUCUGGAACGCAACUGACGCUGGGACGCGAAAGCGUGGGGAGCAAACAGG
rnacentral:rRNA from 1 species